UUUGGUUAUUAAAAACCCACGGCAUUGCUCUUCUUCUAUCAGUUGUCUUCUAUUGACAGCACACAGAGUUUGACAGGUUCUCGUUGAUGACUGCUAAUCUGAUUAGUACGGUGAGGUGUGAGGACUGCUAAUCUGAUUAGUACGGUGAGGUGUGAGGACUGCUAAUCUGAUUAGUACGGUGAGGUGUGAGGACUGCUAAUCUGAUUAGUACGGUGAGGUGUGAGGACUGCUAAUCUGAUUAGUACGGUGAGGUGUGAGGACUGCUAAUCUGAUUAGUACGGUGAGGUGUGAGGACUGCUAAUCUGAUUAGUACGGUGAGGUGUGAGGACUGCUAAUCUGAUUAGUACGGUGAGGUGUGAGGACUGCUAAUCUGAUUAGUACGGUGAGGUGUGAGGACUGCUAAUCUGAUUAGUACGGUGAGGUGUGAGGACUGCUAAUCUGAUUAGUACGGUGAGGUGUGAGGACUGCUAAUCUGAUUAGUACGGUGAGGUGUGAGGACUGCUAAUCUGAUUAGUACGGUGAGGUGUGAGGACUGCUAAUCUGAUUAGUACGGUGAGGUGUGAGGACUGCUAAUCUAAUGAGUUCUCAGUGCUCAGCAGCCGGGAGGAGGGAACACACUGUGUUCUCUGUUCCAAACGAAACCCUAUUCCCUAUGAAGUGCACUACUUCCAACCAGGACAAUAGGUACUAUGUAGGGAAUAAGGUGCCGUUUUGAGACACGAAGGUGUUGUUUGGUCAGAGGGGAAGGUUAAAGAUGUGAAAAGAAAAGGCAAGGAAAUAAAUGGUAAGAUGUUGUUGCUGUUGUUGUUGCUGUUGUUGUAACAACAAAUGAUCGUUAAUAUGGUUUAAAAUGGUGGGUGAAUAUUUCACACUUCAUCGCUUCCACAGCAGAGAUGAAAGAGGAACCUUUUCAAAAACAUAAUAAUAUACUCCACUUUAGCAGCAGCUUUUAUUCAAAGCAACUGACAGUCAUGCUGGA